AACCUUUGCAAUGUGCGAAAGCACGACAAGGUUAAUCCGAGUGUCUCCUGCUAAAGGAGUCUUUUGUUAGUCGUAGAACCACUAGUGAAUAAGGGGUGGGCAAGUUCUGGUGUCAGCCGCCGCGGUAAAACCAGCACCUCGAGUGGUCAGGAGGUUUAUUGGGCCUAAAGCAUCCGUAGCUCGUUUUGUAAGUUUUCGGUUAAAUCCAUGCGCUUAACGUAUGGGCUGCCGGGAAUACUGCAUAACUAGGAAGUGGGAGAGGUAGACGGUACUCGGUAGGAAGGGGUAAAAUCCUUUGAUCUAUUGAUGACCACCUGUGGCGAAGGCGGUCUACCAGAACACGUUCGACGGUGAGGGAUGAAAGCUGGGGGAGCAAACCGG
rnacentral:rRNA from 1 species